rnacentral:rRNA from 1 species
CCUACGGGAGGCUGCAGUGGGGAAUAUUGCACAAUGGGCGCAAGCCUGAUGCAGCCAUGCCGCGUGUGUGAAGAAGGCCUUCGGGUUGUAAAGCACUUUCAGCGGGGAGGAAGGCGGUGAGGUUAAUAACCACAUCGAUUGACGUUACCCGCAGAAGAAGCACCGGCUAACUCCGUGCCAGCAGCCGCGGUAAUACGGAGGGUGCAAGCGUUAAUCGGAAUUACUGGGCGUAAAGCGCACGCAGGCGGUCUGUCAAGUCGGAUGUGAAAUCCCCGGGCUCAACCUGGGAACUGCAUUCGAAACUGGCAGGCUAGAGUCUUGUAGAGGGGGGUAGAAUUCCAGGUGUAGCGGUGAAAUGCGUAGAGAUCUGGAGGAAUACCGGUGGCGAAGGCGGCCCCCUGGACAAAGACUGACGCUCAGGUGCGAAAGCGUGGGGAGCAAACAGGAUUAGAUACCCGGGUAGUC